AAAAAAAAAAAGAGACAUCAAGAGGAUGCAUGUGAGGGGUUAAAAGGAAGAAAGUUAUUAUUAAAAUGUUGUAAUAAUGAUUUAAUCUCAAAAAAUAAAUAUUAAAAUUACAUCUAAAAAAAAAGAAUAUUCUCAAUUCGAUUCUUUUUCUUAUUGUGAAACAGGUACAGAGUGGGACUGGAGACCGGAAGCAGCGGGGACUCCCGCUAGGAUGUGUGUGGUGGUACUGAGAAGCUGCUCGGUGCUGGCAAUGGCUUCCCUACUGGGUUACCACGAGCUGCACCUUAGCAGAGAUGCGCGUCCCUCAGCGGCCUAUUUGUUUCCUGCUUUGCUUUGAUAAGUGGUAUCUGCGAUGACAGCGAGAGCACACAUAUAUCUAACUUUAAAAAGAUUCGAUUCUGCCCAUUAUGAUUUCCUCGCUGCUGGUAUUUUGAUGAAGAGGGAGACAGACAGUAACGCUUCCCCGAGAAAGAAACGGAUCUCAUCCUACCUCCUGUUGGUCUUCUGUGUCUGUGUUAGCCACUGUCAGCGGAAACCAGAGAAGACUAGGUCUUGCGUUAUGAGAGCCAGAGCCUAGGGCCUGACACAGUUCAUUCUUCAUCGUAGAACCCAGUAGUACAGCAAGGUAUCUUGAGCCCUUUGAGUCCAAAUGCUGUGUCAAAUGCUCGCUCUGCCUCAUACCGCUGGACCUGAUUCCCACGGGAUCAGCAUGCUGGUAUUGGAAGCUACCGAGAAACCUCCUGCAGCUUUGGUGGUUCCAGAUUAUAAUAUGUCACGGCAAGGAAGUCACAAUCAAGAAGCUUGCAGGAGUUGAUCACGUCACACCCACCAACAAGAAGCAGAGAGCCACAAAUGGAGAGGAGAUCAGGUCCCCUCGAAGAAGGACUCAGCUACAAUACCAAGAGCGAUUUCUUCUGUUCAGGAUCCAAGCUCGUAACUUCAGAUGAACCUGGGAUUGCCUGGAAGACACAGCUGCCUGGACCCCACAGCUGGCAUAUUUAUCCUCUCAUGUAGUCGACUGACAGCCAGGGGAGCCGCACCCUGCUCGCGGUGAGGAGGUAAGUCUGUACUGUGUGGCCUUUCUUUCUGGAGGCUGAGGCUUUUGUAGACAGGUAGCUCACCCUUUCUUUUUUCCGCGGCUUCCCCCAGUUGUCUGUGCUGACCUUCCGUCUGUGGACUGUGGGCGAAGAUCAAAGCCCUCUCCAGUAGUUACUGUGAGUAGCCAGCUGUCCGCAUGCUCACUUUCAAUUCAUACAAUGAAGCAGGGAUGUCUGCCAUUCCUUCUGAUCUUUUGGUUCAGGAUGGCCUUGU
rnacentral:lncRNA from 1 species